UACAGAGGUCCCAAGCGUUGUUCGGAUUCACUGGGCGUAAAGGGUGCGCAGGUGGGCUGGUAAGUUCGAUGUGAAAGCCCCGGGCUUAACCCGGGAAAGGCAUUGGAUACUACUGGUCUGGAGGAUUGGAGGGGGGACUGGAAUUCUUGGUGUAGCAGUGAAAUGCGUAGAUAUCGAGAGGAACACCAGUGGCGAAGGCGAGUCCCUGGACAACUCCUGACACUGAGGCACGAAAGCUAGGGGAGCAAACAGG
rnacentral:rRNA from 1 species